UGUGACCAUCGGAAAGCUCCAUAGAUUCUCCUUCAAUUCUGCAAUAUAUGCCUCGCUUCCCUUCUCCCAAUCCCUUAGGUCGCUCAUAUAUACUCCAUCUGCUUUGCUUUGCUGGUGUGAGGAAAUAUUGGAGUUCCAGAUCAGAUAUGUAUUGCUUUGUUGGUGUGAGGGCUUGAAGCUGCCAGCAUGAUCUGUUCACUCAUAUACCAGGCAUCGCCGGAGUCUUUUGUUUCUUAUAAUUUAUCUUCCAUCUUUGUAUUCUUCUUCUCCGCUUCAAUCACUCACUAUCAGCAAAAGGCCCUUUAGAUUGUGUUGGAUUUUCUGAUGAUCUCUGCAACAUAUAUUUAUGCAUGGUUCAGAUUCCAGCAAAUCAAGAGGAUCAAUGAAUUUGCGAAGUGAUACUGCUCAUGAUCAUAUGAGGACGAAAAUUAUAUAGACCAGAUUCAUGUAACUCGUAAAAUUACUGAUUUUUUUAAACUUUAAUAACUUUUAGGUACACAUACAUGAAGAUAGAAGUUUUCCUUAGAUGGUACUAUUUUUGUGAAUUUUGUACAGAAUUGAAGUCUUGCAUAGGCUGAAGGCUCUUGCCAAAUUUCGAAUUAGCGAGAUAUCAUAUAAGAUUGACAAAUACAAUCGACCACAGUGAUCGAGUAAUUGUCUUUUUAUACGAGUAAUUAUUCUUUUCCUAAUGUUUUUAGGUUAAUUAUGUACUACAUUUGGCUUUUAACAUCGAUGAGGCUCUAUAACUUGUUUAUAUUUUAUUAUAAAUCAUGUUAGUUUGCAUUAUAUGUUCUAGUUUGAUUAAUAUAUAUAGCAUAAUCAUUAAUCUAUCAGCUGGAAUAUGAGUCUUCAUUUUGUUGGGAAGUAAAUCAUGCAAUAAAACAAAUGAGAAAAGUAAACAAUGAAAAUAAACACUAGGAUUUAAUAUGGAAAAACUUGAAACCCGGAAAAAAUAUGAAGUCACAUCACACCAAGAAAUUCACUAUAAAAAAAGAAGAACUUGUACAGAUCUCUAUCUUUGAUCACUCUCUCUGAAUCUCACUUCACGUUUUCACACCGUUUUUAUCUUAAAACUAAAAAAGAGAUAUACAUCUACAAUUUCAAGGGACGUAACCCUUCAACUUAAACAUUAGAAAAGAAAAAAAAAAAAUAAACUAUCCAGCUCAACUCGUAGUGUCAAGGUUUGGAGUGUCGCAGCACGUCAAUCUAGCGCUCUACCUCCAGCCUAAUAACUCACAGCGCUGACUCUGAAGCGCCACAAUGCUCAACUCACUGUCUCCAUGUCAAGAUGACAACAACAUGAUGUUGCAUCUUACGACAUUGUAGUACACGAGAACAUAGCAUUGUAUGUGAUACGGCUAUACAGAACCACGACCCCCGAACCUCAUAAGUAGGGGGGGCCCCCUUCAAUCCCCCUUGCAUGCGACGAGCUCGAGCGAAUUAAGAUCUGAGUCAACAACACUAUUCAAUUGAUUAACAUAAUCAAAUGCCAUAGGAAAGGUAUUACUAAUGUGGCUAUCAAGGUGGAAACUUUGCUUUUAAUUCUGAUUAUUCAAAAUGAGAAUGUGGGGACAUCCUAAUAUUUUCUAGGUUAUUAGAAAAAUUAAACAAUUGCUUGCUGACCUGAAUUAUACUAUAGCCCAUGCUUAUCGUGAAGGCAACGCAUGUGCUGACUGGUUAGCCAAAUUUGGGUGUCAACUUGUGGCUGUUUAGGAGUUUGAGCAGGCCAAUUUGCCUUCUAUGUUAAGAGGUUUAGUCAAGCUGGAUAAAAUGGGUUUACCUUAUAUUAGAACUGAUUAAUGGCUGUUUUCUUGUUUGUUUGAUGGGUCUGUUAUAUCUCUGGUACCCUUGCUAUUGUAGUUUGUUUUCUGGUAAGUUUGUCUGUUUGGGAUGCUGGUUCUUCCCCAGUUUUGGGGUGAUUUCUGGGAGGUGGUGGUUCUGUUGUUCAAGCAGCACCUGGUUAAUUUGUUUCGGUUUCUAUUUUGCUGGUUGGGGUUAUCUGUACUUUGCCUUUUGAUGUUGAGGGCUAGCUGCAUUCCAGCUGGGUGAUGGAGUUUGGUUGCUGGUUUCUUUCCUAAUUGCUGGAUUGCUCAGGUUAUGAAUGUGGAUAUGCUGGGUGUUUUUUAUUGCUUGGGUUUAGGCUUGCAUUUUAUAUUUAUUUGGUCUGCUAAUUUAUUUGUUGAUGUUCUUAUAGGUGCCUCUAGUCUUCCGAGAACAAAUCAUCUCCAAUUUUCUUGGGGCAGUGCUAUGUACAGCUGUGUUGGUUUAAUUCAUAUCUUGCUUUGGCUAGUCAGUGUUGGGCGUUUCUUUUCGAUUACUGGUAAUUAUUGGUUAGUUGCAGUGUUUUUCUUUUGGUUUCUUGUGCAAUUUUUUUUUUUGCAGGUUUUAUAUGGCUUGGAGGGAAUUUUUUGGCAGAAAAAUUGUUCUGAAUGUGAUUUUGUGGAUCUUUCUAUUUUUUUGGUGCUUGCUUGGUGCUGCCUUAGAUUGUAUCUAGGCAAUUUUGUAUUUUGGUUAGUAUGGGACAAUCGGCUCUUAGGUUUUCUUUCUUUUACUGUUUGUAGUUCUUCGAGCAUUAGUGAGUUGAUUGUCUCCUUAAGAAGACUAUGUAAUUUUGAUUUAUAUUAACGCGUAGGCCCCUCCAUGAAUUUCUUCUAAAAA